rnacentral:rRNA from 1 species
AGUGAACGCUGGCGGUAGGCCUAACACAUGCAAGUCGAACGGCAGCACAGUAAGAGCUUGCUCUUACGGGUGGCGAGUGGCGGACGGGUGAGGAAUACAUCGGAAUCUACUUUUUCGUGGGGGAUAACGUAGGGAAACUUACGCUAAUACCGCAUACGACCUACGGGUGAAAGCAGGGGAUCUUCGGACCUUGCGCGAUUGAAUGAGCCGAUGUCGGAUUAGCUGGUUGGCGGGGUAAAGGCCCACCAAGGCGACGAUCCGUAGCUGGUCUGAGAGGAUGAUCAGCCACACUGGAACUGAGACACGGUCCAGACUCCUACGGGAGGCAGCAGUGGGGAAUAUUGGACAAAGGGCGCAAGCCUGAUCCAGCCAUACCGCGUGGGUGAAGAAGGCCUUCGGGUUGUAAAGCCCUUUUGUUGGGAAAGAAAAGCAGCAGGUUAAUACCCCGCUGUUCUGACGGUACCCAAAGAAUAAGCACCGGCUAACUUCGUG